UACGUAGGGCGCAAGCGUUGUCCGGAAUUAUUGGGCGUAAAGAGCUCGUAGGCGGUUUGUCGCGUCUGGUGUGAAAACUCAAGGCUCAACCUUGAGCUUGCAUCGGGUACGGGCAGACUAGAGUGCGGUAGGGGUGACUGGAAUUCCUGGUGUAGCGGUGGAAUGCGCAGAUAUCAGGAGGAACACCUAUAGCGAAGGCAGCUUGCUGGGACGUUACUGACGCUAAGGCGCGAAAAGCGUGGGGGAGCGAACAGG
rnacentral:rRNA from 1 species